GCACACAAAGUAUAGGCAGGAAUGUGGCUCUCAAUGAGCACACAAAGAUGGCAGGCCCUCUCAGAGGUUGGCCAUAUCUUGUUCUCAACUUUUCAGAAGCCAAUGAGAAAAGAGAAAUUUGGUUUGUUGAACAAUUCAUAGUGAUCAUGUAAUUUUAAAAAACCAAACGCUUUUCAAAGAAAGCAAACCUUUCUUCAUACCCAGAUCAUGAGAGGAUACCUCCUGUGGCCGUUCCUACAGAGGACAUGGUGUGUCGUAAAGAAUGACUUUCUCAUCAGUUACUCAUGGUGGACCCAAGGAUAGCUUUCAUGGGCUUAUGUUUACAAUGAUCCCCGGCAGAGGCUAAUGUAUCAAAACCAAGCAUAAUUCAGAAACGCAGUCCUUCUGGGACAAAUAUGACACGGUCUAGUACCUAGCAUUUAGCUGCUCUGGUUUGAUUCAGAACUACCUCUUGGACAACUUGGAGAAGUGGAAGAUUUGUGUGUCCUUCAAGAAACCUCAGCUUUGGAAGAUGCUAAGCAAUAGUGAUUCAGAGACUGUUCAAACAGCAGGGAAGUCUGGUUGAGUGGAGACUCGAAUGAGUUAACUGAAAACUCGGCACAGUUGCUUAACAAGGACACAACUUGAACAAAAACAUUCCAGCCCCGCUCUGAGGUUUAUCUCAUGGCCUGAGUUUGAAGAGGUUUACUGAUCCAUGUGCCCAGUGAGGCUCAGGAAAACAAGGAAGAAGGAAAAUAAAUAUCAGCAAACACUUCAAACAACAUACGCCUGUCGCUUGAUCUGGUUGCGGGUUUGGGGAUGAUCAGUGGACUAUUUGCUUGUGCUAAUUCUAUUCCCUAAAUAGCAAAGUAUUUGAGGCAUUGUCUAUUACUACUUCGACUCUGAUCCUUAGCCUCCUUUUAUUGAGAGCCUUCUCUUUGUAUUUUACUAAGCAUUUUAUAAACAUUGUAUCAAUGGAUUCUUGAGACAUUAAUCAAAUAUAGAAUUAUUUACCCCCAUUUACAGACGAGGAAACAGAGGGGUUAAAUGACAUCCAGGGUCACUCAGCCGCUAAAGAGCAAGGAUGGGAUGUCACUUCAGAUUUGUUGGCUUCGAAUGCGUAUACUCUUUCCACUAUACCAUGAUGCUUCUAAAAAGCAGUUUCUUAAAAAGUCUCUUAAAAAGUUUUUAAACAGAAGUUUCUUAAAAAGUUAAAUAUACACUUAUUAUCUGACUCAUCAGUUCCACUCCUACCCACGAGAAAUGAAAGCAUAUAUCCACACAAAGACUUACAUACAAAUGUUAAUAGCAGCUUAUUUCUAAUAGCCAAAAGCUGGAAACAACCCAAAUGUCAAUCAUUAGAUGAAUAGAUAGACAAGAAGAUAAACAGAUAGAUUUGACUAGAUUGGAUGAAAAAACAAAAUGUGGUAUAUUCAAAUAAUAGAAUACUACUCAGCAAUAAAAAGGUAGGCACUACUGAUGCAUGCACAACA
ensembl:lncRNA